rnacentral:snRNA from 1 species
CUCGUGUGGAACAAAAGG